rnacentral:rRNA from 1 species
AUGCCAACCUUCGCCCUCACCGUCCUCCGUGUCCCAAAGAAAAUUCUCAAGGAGAUCAACAAGUGCAGGCGACGUUUCCUCUGGUGCCAGGACGACGAGAUUUUGGGCGCCAGCUGCAAGGUCAACUGGCCGGCGGUCUGCGCCCUGACGGAGCAAGGAGGCCUGGGCAUCCCUGACCUGCAGCAUUUUCGCAGAGCGCUGCGGCUGCGCUGGCUCUGGAUUGCCUGGCACCACCCGGAGCGGACUUGGGUGGGCACCGAGCUGCCUUGCGACCGCGCGGACAAGGCGCUCUUCGCGGCCUCCACCAGCAUUGCGAUCGGCGACGGGGCUCGGGCCUCCUUCUGGCUCUCUCCAUGGAUCGGCCAGGGCUGCCUCUCGCAACAAUUCCCAAGGAUGUUCAGCUACUCGCGGCGCAAGAAUAGAUCGGUGCGGGAGGCCCUCAGUGACGACACAUGGAUCCACGACCUCGCCCAUGGCAACAACCGCCAUCUCCUGCCGGACGUCCUCGCCCUUCAUCACCUGCUCCAGGGGACGGACGCGCAGCUGCAGCCAGGAGUGUCGGAUGACCUGACGUGGAGUAGAGAGAGCUCAGGAAAGUACGCAGCAAAGUCGGCCUACCUGGCGCAGUUCCAGGGUAGAACGGCGACUCACUUCGACCGUCUGGUUUGGAAGGCCUGGGCUCCAGGCAAAAUCAAAAUCUUUGCCUGGUUGCUCCUCUAG